rnacentral:rRNA from 1 species
UCCGAGACUGAGCCCAGAGAGGUGGGCAACUACCACUCAGGGCCGGAAAGCUCUCCAAACUCGGUCAUUUAGAGGAAGUAAAAGUCGUAACAAGGUCUCCGUUGGUGAACCAGCGGAGGGAUCAUUACCGAGUUUACAACUCCCAAACCCAAUGUGAACGUUACCAAACUGUUGCCUCGGCGGGAUCUCUGCCCCGGGUGCGUCGCAGCCCCGGACCAAGGCGCCCGCCGGAGGACCAACCAAAACUCUUAUUGUAUACCCCCUCGCGGGUUUUUUUAUAAUCUGAGCCUUCUCGGCGCCUCUCGUAGGCGUUUCGAAAAUGAAUCAAAACUUUCAACAACGGAUCUCUUGGUUCUGGCAUCGAUGAAGAACGCAGCGAAAUGCGAUAAGUAAUGUGAAUUGCAGAAUUCAGUGAAUCAUCGAAUCUUUGAACGCACAUUGCGCCCGCCAGUAUUCUGGCGGGCAUGCCUGUCCGAGCGUCAUUUCAACCCUCGAACCCCUCCGGGGGGUCGGCGUUGGGGAUCGGCCCUGCCUUGGCGGUGGCCGUCUCCGAAAUACAGUGGCGGUCUCGCCGCAGCCUCUCCUGCGCAGUAGUUUGCACACUCGCAUCGGGAGCGCGGCGCGUCCACAGCCGUUAAACACCCAACUUCUGAAAUGUUGACCUCGGAUCAGGUAGGAAUACCCGCUGAACUUAAGCAUAUCAAUAAGCGGAGGAAAAGAAACCAACAGGGAUUGCCCCAGUAACGGCGAGUGAAGCGGCAACAGCUCAAAUUUGAAAUCUGGUCCCUAGGGCCCGAGUUGUAAUUUGUAGAGGAUGCUUUUGGUGAGGUGCCGCCCGAGUUCCCUGGAACGGGACGCCACAGAGGGUGAGGAGCCCCGUCUGGCUGGCCG